GCCCAUCCGUAAACUUUUAAUUACAUAAUAUCCGCCAGAGAACUACGAGCUAAGCUUAAAACUCAAAGGACUUGUCGGUAUCCCGUACCACCUAGAGGAGCCUGUCCUAUAAUCGAUAACCCCCGUUAAACCUCACCUCUUUUAGCUAUCCAGUCUGUAUACUUCCGUCGCCAGCCUACCACGUGAGCGCAAUCUAGUCGGCUUCUUGUCCAUUUGCAUUAACGUCAGGUCAAAGUGCAGCAAAUAAAGAGGAAAGAGAUGGGCUACAUUCUCUAACUUAGAGCAAACGAAAAGCCACUAUGAAACCUGGCUAGAAGGCGGAUUUAGAAGUAAAGUCGGAACAGAGUGCCCUCUUUAAUAAGGAACUGGGAUGCGAA
rnacentral:rRNA from 1 species